rnacentral:lncRNA from 1 species
CUCAGAGUCCUAGAAAAGAGUCUUUUCAUCCUAAUUCCAUACAAGCCUGAGGCCUGAAUUCGGAGCCCUUCAACCUCUUUUAAUCUAAGAAGGAGAUGGUCUCUUUUAGAAACGCCUUCAGCUUCUUACCCCUUGCUGUUCUGACAGAGUCUAACUCAGCAGGGGUUCGUGAAGGCUUAUGAAGUGAAGGCAGAUCAGAGCUAGAAGGUAUCUUUUCCCCUUUGCUUCCCGGGGAGUGGCUGGGUGUUUGCACUGCUUUCCAUACCUGUUCAAAGAUCUCACGAACGUAGAAGUGUCGGCUGAGGGUGGAGCUGUAGGAGUUCAGUUCUUUCAGUAUGAUCACGGGGUACUCCAUCACCUCCUUUGUCAGGAGCUUGUGGAAACACUCAUACCUGGGGGGGUGGGGUAGGCGAGACCACUGUCUAAGGGGGGGGCCACUCCACCGAGUGUGGGAGACCCCGACCAAGAGCCCUGCCCCAGGCCGCUGGGAGAUGGGCUGGGGGCCACAGUUCUCUCCACACAGAGCCACUGUCUGUGUUUCCUUUCACUCUGGCAAUCCUUGGUUUGUUUUGCUCUUUUUCGGAUCCUACAAGGAAUACACACUCUUUGUAGAAUAUUUGGAAAACAUACACCAGGAGAGUUCUCUGUUGGAACAUGGGUUCCCAUUUCCUGUCCACAGUCUUAACCCUGUCCUUGAACUUUACCUACAUCAUCCCACCAAACACUCCAAUGCCCCAGGGAUCAGGCCUUUAUCUGUUUCCCAGGUGAAUCUUCAGUGUUUCCUCGUGGCUUUGCUGCCUCAGCUGGUCCAAGAGCUUAUCAAGGGGCUCCUUGGGGCCCUGGGGCCGCACCUGCUCCUCCGGGCUGUGCCUGUGCCGCUGUUGCUCCAGCCUCUUCUCCAGCCCCAGAUCCUGCACCGACAGCAGGCUCUGAUGUGUCUCCCACAGCUGCACGGCCUCUUGGAAGUAGCUGAAGAGAUCCGAGCUCUGCCAUUCUGUCUGCUUUGCCAGGCCCUCAAAGGAUUUCUGCAGCAGCAGAACCCAGAGAAGGGGCUUUAAAGGCCAACUGGCCCAGGGUGAGGGGAAGGCCCCCCCCCCCACAGGGCUCCCUCACCAGCCAGUAGAGGGCCCACCUCUCCAAGGACUGGCCGUCGCUGCCUGGGCACCAAUCCCUCGGGGUCAUCUUCCUGGGUCACACUUUGGCUCAUGGCCCUCCCUCCUCUGGGACAGCUUCUGGUCUGCCCAAAGCUACGCCCUCAGUCUGGCUGACCCCGAAGGCCCAUCUCUAGACCUGUCCCAUAUCCACUGAAGUCACUCGUGGGAGGAAGGAGAAGUGUGGAGCCUCAAAGAAAGCAGGAGCCACCAGACACCAGUUCCAAAGAACUCCUUCUUUGGAGUUCCCUGAUUCUUAGCAUCUGAGCCAAACACCACACUCUGCUGUUAAAUCCUCACCUCUCCCCAUUUUAUGGAUGUAUUUUAUGCUCUCAUUGGGGCCAGGGGUCAACAAACUUAGCCUAGGAACUAAAUUUGGCCCUCUA